rnacentral:rRNA from 1 species
UUACCUUUAGUUGCCAGCGGGUAGAGCCGGGCACUCUAGAGGGACUGCCGGGGAUGACCCGGAGGAAGGUGGGGAUGAACGUCAAAUCAUCAUGCCCCUUAUGUCCCGGGCUACACACGUGCUACAAUGGCCCGUACAGAGGGCAGCGAACCAGUGAUGGGGAGCGAAUCCCACAAAACGGGUCUCAGUUCGGAUUGCAGGCUGCAACUCGCCUGCAUGAAGUUGGAGUUGCUAGUAAACGCAGGUCAGCCAUACUGCGUUGAAUACGUUCCCGGGGCUU